ACGAACGCUGGCGGCGUGCUUAACACAUGCAAGUCGAACGGAAAGGCCCUGCUUUUGUGGGGUUCUCGAGUGGCGAACGGGUGAGUAACACGUGAGUAACCUGCCCUUGACUUUGGGAUAACUUCAGGAAACUGGGGCUAAUACCGGAUAGGAGCUCCUGCUGCAUGGUGGGGGUUGGAAAGUUUCGGCGGUUGGGGAUGGACUCGCGGCUUAUCAGCUUGUUGGUGGGGUAGUGGCUUACCAAGGCUUUGACGGGUAGCCGGCCUGAGAGGGCGACCGGCCACAUUGGGACUGAGAUACGGCCCAGACUCCUACGGGAGGCAGCAGUGGGGAAUAUUGCACAAUGGGCGGAAGCCUGAUGCAGCAACGCCGCGUGCGGGAUGACGGCCUUCGGGUUGUAAACCGCUUUCGCCUGUGACGAAGCGUGAGUGACGGUAAUGGGUAAAGAAGCACCGGCUAACUACGUG
rnacentral:rRNA from 1 species